CGGGGACGUCCCAGCGCCGCAGAGCUCUGCGUCCUGAAUCGUUGGUUCGCUGAGGCCCUGAGCAAGCCUCGACCAGAGGGCUCAGUUUACUCCUCCAGAAAACGGGACGAGCGGCGGAAGUGAGGGAGAUACUAGGUAAAGCGCCUGGGUGCAGAGACCUCCUCCUCCUCGCUAGGAUGGGGCCUCCGCCACCCCCAGGAGAGGGCUGAUGGUCUGCGAUCCCGGGGACGGCAAAUUACACACGCAGUGCCCACAACAGGAUCCGACAGGAAACCUGAAGCCUCCACCCCACCCCAGGACUCUGCCUUCAGACUUCCCUCUGCAGGCCAGGCAGUCUUUACUGAUCCUGGCCUGUUUAUUCUGGGAGGGCCUCGCACCGCCGACCUGCAGAGCCCCGCUGAGCAUCGCAGACGCCUGUGCCCUCUCCAGCCACACGUGGCCUUGAACCCUGAACAAACUGUUUGCUCACCUCCCAGGACAGAAGCUCCUCACCUCCCCUGCACAGCCUGGUCCACGAGGCCCAGGCCCAUCUCCCUGACAGUCUCCGAUGCCCUCCCCCAGGAUCUCCUGUUCUGUGAGUCCUGUGCCCGCACUGGGGGGUGCAGGGACACAGAGAAAGCGCUCCCUUGUGGAGCAUGCGUUUCGUGAGCAGGCACACGGGGACACCGGGUGCAGGUGGUGAGAGCACCUGGAAGAAACUGAGGCAGGGAAGGAGCCUGUGAAGGCCUUUGCAGAGAAGGUGGUCAGGGCAGGUCUGUCUGAGGAGGCAACAUCUGAGUGGAGGCCUGAAUGGAACGAGGGAGCUGGCCAGAGGGAGGACAGCAUUCUAGACAGAAGAGAGCGUGCAAAAGCCCUGAGGUGCAAGCUUAGUGUGCUGGAGGACAGCGAGGAGGCCAGUGUGGCUGGAGUGGAGGGAGCGAGGUGGGGUGAGGAUAGAGGAGGCAGCCAGAGGGGUGGGACUCUAACCCAGGUUUGCCAGUCACUUGAGCCAAGCACACAGAUUCUCCAGGGACGGGCAAGAAGUGGGUUUGCCAGCUACCCCUGCAGCGCAAUCAGAGGCGCACAACCUGAAGACGGGCCUGGCAUACGUGUUGGUGUGGCAGACCAUGUGGACAGGGGAGGGCGUCGCCGCCACUCCAGGAGGAGGAGCGGGGGCUGUCCCCUGCCUGCUGCCCCGGCACACUCAGGUCAGCAGGUUCUCAUGUCCCUGGCCGGUCAUGGAUGGCACAGGAGCACAGGCUGCCUUUGUGCACUUGCAGGUGCCCCGGGGCACGAGUGUGCGCAUUUUCCUGGAAUGGAACGGGCGAUGCUGCUGCGGCCCGGCACACCUCCCCGCGGACAAGCAGGAAAUGAAGGCUCAGAGCGGGUCAAGGAGGAAACGAAAGCUCAGAGGGAGGCCAAGUGCCCACUGCCCCAGAGACACCCAUGCAGUGUCUGGGACUGGAACCCAGUUUGACCCCAGAGCCUGCUCCUGAGCCCCAGCCUGCCAGGGCCCGCAGAGAGCUGACUCCAGCCGGCCCUGCCUGCCCGCGCUCAGGUGGUGUGCAGAGACCAGAGCAGGAUGGAGAAGUGGAGGGGAGGGGAUUUCAGCAUGACCGUGUUCCACUGGGAGGUGCUUGCUCUCUCCAUCUCUCUCUGUCUCCCUGUCUCUUUCUGAUGAGAGCAGGCACCCUCUGGCAAGUUAAAACAAAUACCAACAUUGAGCGUUUCUUGGUAUCCUAACGUUCACUUUCGGGUUAGCUCCCUCAGCUGGUUUGUUUGAAAUGUUUUUCCCCCUCAGGAAAAGAUCAUUUACAGCUGUCAUUUGCCCUGUCAUGCAUCCCAUUUCCUCACAGCAUCGCCUGCCCUGGGUUUUAUGGUUUUUCUGUACUCCUGGUUGCUUUGCUUGUUCCGAGCUGUGUGACCGCGGCCUGCAAGGCACCUGCAUUUGCAAGGCCUAGGCUGUAGCAAUGCACUGGUGCAGUGAGCAGUCAGCCAUGAGGUUCCGAGGGCCCCUCCACACUGCUUCUCCUCGUCCAGCUGGUGGGAAGCAGCCCCUGCUGGCCUGGCCUCCCUGCUCCUCAGUGAAGAGGGCCAGCUGCCCUGCCUGCACAGGGGCAAGGUGACAGUUCCGAGAUUCCGUCCAGCUCGUCUCUUGUCUUUAAUGGAAGCAAAGCACAGGGAGCUUGCUCCCCAAAGGUGAGGCCUGGGAAAAAGGGGGCUCCCAUGCUAGACUCAGAACCACCACAGAGGGGCUGCUCAGAACUUGGAACCACAGCCCGGAACAACCUAGAACUUCCAGCAUGGGUUCUUUGGAUCACUGCAGCCAACACGCACUGGGUCAGUGCCCGACGCGGUGACAGUCACACUGACUGGCACUGGUUGAGGGCUACUGUGGACCACGCCCUGCCUAAGCCUUGACCCGGAUUAGCUCGGCACAACCCCAGGCAGCUGCCCGUAGUACGCCCCCGCUGUACGCGGGGACAUAAGGGCAGAGACAUCAAGCCAUUCUCCAAGAGCUCCUAGCAGGGCUGGGUGCAAGGACUCCCCAGGCCCCACCAUACAGACACAGGAACACGGGGACCUGGAGCCCUGGGAGGGGCAGCUGGGUAGCGGGACAAGGGCACAGCUUGAACGGGGAUGGCUGCGUGGACAGGCCCCAAGAUGGCAGCAUAUCUAUACGGAGUGACUGCAGAGUCCCUGCCCUCUCAGCAGGAUCCCCGAAUCCUCGUGGCGGUGAUGACAAUGAUAAUUUGUUCAGUUUAUUUCUUCCAUAAGAGAGAGAGUCAGAGGAAGACAGAGACUGAGGGCCGGCACCCCAGCCUCAGCCAGCCCAGAUCGAGCACACGCGUCUGGGUGUCAGGCCGCUCUCUGUCCCUGCAACCUUCUCGUGGGGCGGUCCUCACAGAGCGUGGCACCUCGGCCCCAGAAGGCCCUGAGCCCUCUUACAAGGCUCUCCCCUCCCCGCCCCUGCAUGACCACUUCUGUGGUGGCCUGCCAGUUCCCAGGGUCAGAGGGCACAUCCACACUUCCUCUGGCCAGUGCGGCAGCUCUGCCUUGGGCCAGACCUGCCAGCAGGCAAAGUCCAGGCCCAGGCCCCUGCCCGGAGGACGCUGCCUGGGGCUGCCCGGGUCACUCGCGAGCUCGUGUCCAGCUGAGUGACUGCGGCAGGAGGAAAUCCCGGCCGCCUGCCCGCCCAUUCCAGGACCCGUUCCCAGUGCCCUCCUCCUGCUCCCACAAUUCACAGCCGUAAGGGGCUGGGGGCCUUCGGCUCUCUGCUGCCCUAGGGUGGGGCAGGCCGGAUCUGAUAGGAGAGGCCUCACCCAGGCUCCCUCGCUGAAGGGCCCUGGACAUGGCUGAAGGCUCUGAGCAGACAGGCGAUGUCACAGGAGGGGUGGGUUUGGCAAACCCUGCAGACCUUCAGCGCCACACCAGACUAGGAACUUUACCUGGAGGCACUGGGGAGCUACGGAUGGUUUGAGACCCAGGGGUUGUGUGCAGGGAGCUGGACAACGACCAGUCUAGAGCGAUUUCCACACAGAAGCCGUGUUUGCUGGGACUUGAGAACAGAGACCUGAAGGGCCCUGGGCAGAGGUGGAUGGCAGAGUGGGCCUAGACGUGCCUCCCCCUCACUGGGGCUGGCCUGGGCCAGAACACAGCAGACACACCUAGCCAGCAGGGCUGCCCACUGAGGGGUAGGGCAUGCGGGGGACAUCAGGGCUGGAAGAGCCCUAGAAUGCCGCUCAGUGAGGUGGUGCACGGCGGGGACAGGAGAGCCAGGAGGGCUUCCCGGGGGCAACUGUGACCAGACCUUGGCAGACUACAUGGCAUCUGACAAAGAGCAGGCAUGCAGGGACCCAGGCAGCAGAAAGAACACAAAUUGUGUCACCAGAGAUUUCGUGUGGGGACACAUUCGGAGAGACCCUGAGGUGUGGGGACACAUUCGGAGAGAGAUCCUGAGGUGUGGGGACACAUUCGGAGAGAGACCCUGAGGUGUGGGACACAUUCGGAGAGAGACCCUGAGGUUGGGGGGACACAUUCGGAGAGAGACCCUGAGGUGUGGGGACACAUUCGGAGAGAGACCCUGAGGUUGGGGACACAUUCGGAGAGAGACCCUGAGGUUGGGGACGUGCUCUGAA